CCCCCGGAAUCCUUGGUAAUCUGUCAGUGGGAGGUCCUUGUUCCCAGUCCCUCGCAUUUUUCAGCCCCGCCGAGCCCUACAAGUCUCAGCUAUGCGUGAGUGCAUCUCCAUCCAUGUUGGCCAAGCUGGUGUCCAGAUCGGCAAUGCCUGCUGGGAGCUCUACUGCCUGGAACACGGCAUCCAGCCCGAUGGCCAGAUGCCAAGUGACAAGACCAUUGGUGGGGGAGAUGACUCCUUCAACACCUUCUUCAGUGAGACAGGCGCUGGCAAGCAUGUGCCCAGGGCAGUGUUUGUAGACCUGGAACCCACAGUCAUUGAUGAAGUUCGAAAUGGCACCUACCACCAGCUCUUCCACCCUGAGCAGCUGAUCACCGGCAAGGAAGAUGCUGCCAAUAACUAUGCCCGUGGANCCUACACUAACCUUAACCGCCUUAUUAGCCAGAUUGUGUCCUCCAUCACUGCAUCCCUCAGGUUUGAUGGAGCCCUGAAUGUUGAUCUGACUGAAUUCCAGACCAACCUGGUGCCCUAUCCCCGCAUCCACUUCCCUCUGGCCACAUAUGCCCCUGUCAUCUCUGCUGAGAAAGCCUACCAUGAGCAGCUUACUGUAGCAGAAAUCACCAAUGCGUGCUUUGAGCCAGCCAACCAGAUGGUGAAAUGUGACCCUCGCCAUGGUAAAUACAUGGCUUGCUGCCUGUUGUACCGUGGUGACGUGGUCCCCAAAGAUGUCAAUGCUGCCAUUGCCACCAUCAAGACCAAGCGCAGCAUCCAGUUUGUGGACUGGUGCCCCACUGGCUUCAAAGUUGGCAUUAACUACCAGCCUCCCACUGUGGUCCCUGGUGGAGACCUGGCCAAAGUACAGAAAGCUGUGUGCAUGCUGAGCAACACCACAGCUAUUGCUGAGGCCUGGGCUUGCCUGGACCACAAGUUUGACCCGAUGUAUGCCAAGUGUGCCUUUGUCCACGGUACGUGGGUGAGGGCAUGGAGGAAGAAGAGUUUUCUGAGGCCCGUGAGGACAUGGCUGCCCUUGAGAAGGAUUAUGAGGAGGUUGGAGCAGAUAGUAUUGAGGGAGAGGAUGAGGGUGAGGAGUACUAACCUGUCAGCUGUGAUGUUACACUCCAGCGUCUUGGGAUUGUCUUAUUUCUGUUGUUCUGUGAAGUCUAUUGUGUCCUAAACUUUGCAAUAAAGUGGUUUUCAUUUUGAAUGUCAAAAAAAA